GCCAGACUCCUACGGGAGGCAGCAGUGGGGGAUAUUGCACAAUGGGGGGAACCCUGAUGCAGCGACGCCGCGUGAGGGAAGACGGUUUUCGGAUUGUAAACCUCUGUCUUUAGGGACGAAACAAAUGACGGUACCUAAAGAGGAAGCCCCGGCUAACUACGUGCCAGCAGCCGCGGUAAUACGUAGGGGGCAAGCGUUAUCCGGAUUUACUGGGUGUAAAGGGAGCGUAGACGGCGAAGAAAGUCUGAAGUGAAAGCCCGCGGCUCAACCGCGGAACUGCUUUGGAAACUUUUUUGCUGGAGUACCGGAGAGGUAAGCGGAAUUCCUAGUGUAGCGGUGAAAUGCGUAGAUAUUAGGAGGAACACCAGUGGCGAAGGCGGCUUACUGGACGGUAACUGACGUUGAGGCUCGAAAGCGUGGGGAGCAAACAGGAUUAGAUACCCGAGUAAUA
rnacentral:rRNA from 1 species